GACGAGUGGAUCCCUGGAGCUCAUUGGCUGCCCAACCUCGGAGAAAAGGAUAGAAACAAAAACAACAAAACAAAUAAAAAUGAAGACCCAAGAUGCACCACGGGAGGAGGAGCCCCUCGGACAAGAAGCCUGCCCUGGGGAUGGGCUUCCAUUCAGAGACUGCACAGGUGGAGGAAGCUCUGCCCUGAAGCCUCCUGUGUCCUUCCAGCUCUAUCUGCUCUUUCCCAGCAAAGAGCCGCUGUGCAAGGCAACACCCACUGGUUCUUCCGAUCAACAGCGCCCCUUACUGGCUAGUGCAUUACAAACUCACCGAGUUCUUGAACUCCAUCACAACCUUACCCGGCAACUAACAAAUGAGUUCCUAUCUUUGUGGAACUUCAAACACGCAGAAACGGUGGUGGAUCUUGGAUUCCAGGUCAAGGGUCCUAGCCACCUCUUUGCCUUAUCGAUCUCUUGCAGAGCCAGGUUUCUCUAUGGGAGAUUGGUCCUCAGAGGAGCUGUGCCUCCUGGGAAACCAAUAAACUGCAAAUAACACCGUGAUCACAGCA